rnacentral:sRNA from 2 species
UCCUAGCCCUGAUAGAAGCGGCAUCCUUUUGUUUUUUUCUUUAAAAAACAAAAGAUAUAGCGGAUAGCAGGAUUAGCU